ACACAGGUGCUGCAUGGCUGUCGUCAGCUCGUGUCGUGAGAUGUUGGGUUAAGUCCGUAACGAGCGCAACCCUUGUCCUUAGUUACCAGCACGUUAUGUGGGCGACUCUAAGGAGACUGCCGGUGCAAACCGGAGGAAGGUGGGGAUGACGUCAAGUCAUCGUGGCCCUUACGGCCUGGGCUACACACGUGCUACAAUGGUCGGUACAAAGGGUUGCCAAGCCGCGAGGUGGAGCUAAUCCCAUAAAACCGAUCGUAGUCCGGAUCGCAGUCUGCAACUCGACUGCGUGAAGUCGGAAUCGCUAGUAAUCGUGAAUCAGAAUGUCACGGUGAAUACGUUCCCGGGCCUU
rnacentral:rRNA from 1 species